rnacentral:rRNA from 1 species
UACAGAGGGGGCAAGCGUUGUUCGGAAUUACUGGGCGUAAAGGGCGCGUAGGCGGCCUGCUAAGUCGAACGUGAAAUCCCUGGGCUCAACCCAGGAACUGCGUCCGAUACUGGUUGGCUUGAAUCCGGGAGAGGGAUGUGGAAUUCCAGGUGUAGCGGUGAAAUGCGUAGAUAUCGGGAGGAACACCAAUGGCGAAGGCAGCUCGCUGGGACGGUACUGACGCUGAGACGCGAAAGCGUGGGGAGCAAACAGG